CCUACGGGAGGCAGCAGUGAGGAAUAUUGGUCAAUGGACGAGAGUCUGAACCAGCCAAGUAGCGUGAAGGAUGACUGCCCUAUGGGUUGUAAACUUCUUUUAUAAAGGAAUAAAACGAGGCACGUGUGCCUUUUUGCAUGUACUUUAUGAAUAAGGAUCGGCUAACUCCGUGACAGCAGCCGCGGUAAUACGGAGGAUCCGAGCGUUAUCCGGAUUUAUUGGGUUUAAAGGGAGCGUAGAUGGGUUGUUAAGUCAGUUGUGAAAGUUUGCGGCUCAACCGUAAGAUUGCAAUUGAUACUGGGAGUCUUGAGUACAGUUGAGGUAGGCGGAAUUCGUGGUGUAGCGGUGAAAUGCUUAGAUAUCACGAAGAACCCCGAUUGCGAAGGCAGCUUACUAAACUGUGACUGACAUUGAUGCUCGAAAGUGUGGGUAUCAAACAGGAUUAGAUACCCCAGUAGUC
rnacentral:rRNA from 1 species